CUGAACAUACCAAUUAGGUGUCCGGUAGUUGUGGUGGUGACGAGAAAAGUGACCGGUACUCGCUUUCUACUACUUGCUGAUGGAUAGAUGAUGUUGGGUGGCGGUAGAAGGUAAAUGCACCA
ensembl:ncRNA F25H8.10 ncRNA